AGCAGCCGCUGACUCAUAGACUUUCAUGUCUCUCGGCCCCAGUCUGUUGGCAGCUUCUGGACCGACUUGUAACUGCUUUGCUGGGGCCAGUGUAGUCCAACCUGGAAGUCCCGCCUACUCAUCCAGUGAUUGGUCCCUUUAUUCAUUCCAGGGGAAGGUUCACAAGAAGUCACCCUCACUCGCUGUUGGAGACGGAGGGAAGCCUGUUUGAACUCCACCCAGUUUGAAUCAACCAGUAAGACGAUCACGAGGAUCUUACUCUUUGUGUCUGCAAUGUGCUGUAGAGCAUGC